rnacentral:lncRNA from 1 species
CGCCGCAAGAUAACUUGUUUUGACAGCGACGUUUUCCGCAAGCAUAGUUCUGCAGAAUCCUACCUACUGCUGCAGACGGCUUUGGCCGAAUGUCAAUUGUCAAAUUGAAAACGUAAAACGUAAAAAAUAAAUGUUGUGCCAAAGCGUUCUUGUUAAAAGAUAUUGUUAGAUAGAAAUACACUGUGAAAAGGUAUUAGGAGCUGUGGAAAAUAGGGAAUAUAAAACAUCACAACCAAGUCUCUAUUUUGUUUGUAUUUUUUGGUUUCUCAAUAAAAGGAAAUAUCUAUCAACAUCAAAAUCUGUUUUUGGGAUUCCCUCAAGAGUGUAAAGGUAUACUUGCUACAAGUUUGCAUAAUCCUAUUACAAUUUAUACAGGCUAAGGCUAGACCCACAGUGAUGCAAUAAUAUAUACCAGUUAAAGCGGAGGUAGGCUAUGAUGUAACUACAACCUAAGAUAAUGAUAUAGGAUUAAAACUACAGUUACUAAUUAUAUUGUUACAGGAAGUUUAAUCGUAAAAUAUUUUAGUCUUACAAGAGUGUGGUCUGCUACUGUUUUCUGUUGGCACGAUUAACAUUAUUUAUUAAAACCCGGCUUUCAUUAAAAUUUUUGGCAUUUAACAGGUGUCUACAGAUUACUUAAAUAGUGUAAUUAAUGCAAAUACAGCCUUAUCACUUAUCUGUUAUUAUAUGCUUUACAUUUUGUAACUUAUCGUUGUAUACAUAUUGUUUAAAUAAAAUAUUUUGAUACAUGA